UGAGUUUCAAUAACUACAAAACUAAACUACUACUCGUGGUGCGUCCUCUUCCUCUUUUCCUUUCCAAAUGAUCUGCCAACUUUUUCUGUACUGUUGUCUUUUAUACCAGCUUCUAGUUUUCUCUUUCCAUAAUCCCACAACAAAGCUCCAUACCUCAUGCGAACAUGACCAAUGUCAUCUCUUUAGGAAUAUCUCUACCAUGAAUGACAUAUUUAGCAAACGCACAAACAAAUGCUCCACAAUCAC
rnacentral:lncRNA from 1 species